rnacentral:rRNA from 1 species
AAUAGAUACCCUGGUAGUCCUAGCUGUAAACGAUGAGCACUGGGUUGAGGGGACUUCCACAUCCUCUCGGCCGUAGCGAAAGCGUUAAGUGCUCCGCCUGGGGAGUAUGGCCGCAAGGCUGAAACUCAAAGGAAUUGACGGGGGCUCACACAAGCGGUGGAGGAUGUGGCUUAAUUCGAGGCUACGCGAAGAACCUUAUCCUAGAUUUGACAUGGUUGAGAAUCUCCUUGAAAGAGGAGAGUGCCCUUCGGGGAGCUCUUUCACAGGUGCUGCAUGGCUGUCGUCAGCUCGUGUCGUGAGAUGUUGGGUUAAGUCCCUUAACGAGCGAAACCCUUAUCUUUAGUUGCCAGCGGGUCAAGCCGGGGACUCUAAAGAGACUGCCGGUGUCAAACCGGAGGAAGGUGGGGAUGACGUCAAGUCCUCAUGGCCUUUAUGUCUAGGGCUGCACACGUCCUACAAUGGCACGUACAAAGGGAAGCCAAGCCGCGAGGCCGCGCUAAUCCCGAAAAAAGCGUGCCCCGAGUUCGGAUUGCAGG